rnacentral:rRNA from 1 species
AUUGAACGCUGGCGGCAGGCCUAACACAUGCAAGUCGAACGAGUGGCGGACGGGUGAGGAAUGUCUGGGAAACUGCCAGAUGGAGGGGGAUAACUACGGGAAACGGUAGCUAAUACCGCACAACAUCGGAUGUGCCCAGAUGGGGUUAGCUUGUAGGUGAGGUAACGGCUCACCUAGGCGACUAUCACUAGCUGGUCUGAGAGGAUGACCAGCCACACUGGAACUGAGACACGUUCCAGACUCCUACGGGAGGCAGCAGUGGGGAAUAUUGCACAAUGGGCGCAAGCCUGAUGCAGCCAUGCCGCGUGUAUGAAGAAGGCCUUCGGGUUGUAAAGUACUUUCAGCGGGGAGGCGUUACCCGCAGAAGAAGCACCGGCUAACUCCGUGCCAGCCGCCGCGGUAAUAC